rnacentral:rRNA from 1 species
GAUGAACGCUGGCGGCGUGCCUAAUAUAUGCAAGUCGAGCGAACAGACGAGAGUGCUUGCACUCUCUGACGUUAGCGGCGGACGGGUGAGUAACACGUGGGUAACCUACCUAUAAGACUGGGAUAACUUCGGGAAACCGGAGCUAAUACCGGAUAAUAUUUAGCUUCGCAUGAAGCAAUAGUGAAAGACGGUUCUGCUGUCACUUAUAGAUGGACCCGCGGUGUAUUAGCUAGUUGGUGAGGUAACGGCUCACCAAGGCAACGAUACAUAGCCGACCUGAGAGGGUGAUCGGCCACACUGGGACUGAGACACGGCCCAGACUCCUACGGGAGGCAGCAGUAGGGAAUCUUCCGCAAUGGACGAAAGUCUGACGGAGCAAUGCCGCGUGAGUGAAGAAGGUUUUCGGAUCGUAAAACUCUGUUGUAAGGGAAGAACAAGUACGUUAGUAACUGAACGUACCUUGACGGUACCUUACCAGAAAGCCACGGCUAACUACGUG